rnacentral:rRNA from 1 species
CAACUUUUAACGGUGGAUCUCUUGGCUCACGUAUCGAUGAAGAACGCAGCCAGCUGCGAUAAGUAGUGUGAAUUGCAGAAUUCAGUGAAUCAUCGAAUCUUUGAACGCAAAUGGCGCUCUUGGGUUCUCCCAGGAGCAGUCUGUCUGUCUGAGUGUCG